GACAGAGGCCUCAAGCGUUAGGCGGAAUCACUGGGCUUAAAGCGUGUGUAGGCGGACUUCUAAGUGCCUUGUGAAAUCCCACGGCUCAACCGUGGAACUGCUGGGCAUACUGGGAGUCUUGGGCCAUUCAGGGGCAACUGGAACAAGCGGUGGAGCGGUGAAAUGCGUAGAUAUCGGGAGGAACACCUGUGGCGAAGGCGGCCCCCUGGUUGGAUACUGACGCUGAUACGCGAAAGCGUGGGGAGCAAACAGG
rnacentral:rRNA from 1 species